UACCUGAGUAAAGCAGACGCCCGUCGUGA
rnacentral:piRNA from 1 species